GCAGGAGAUCUCUGAAUCUUUUAAUAAUAGAAAUGAUGGACUGAGUUUGAGAUCAAGCCUAUCUAACGGGUGAUCUAUGGAUUUAUUAGUACUAAUACUAUAUAACUUUAUGUGAGACCAGGCCUUUCAAGCGGGUGGUCUAUGAAUCUGUGGAACUAUCUAUCUUCCCUACUGAGCUGAAUGACCGUAUCUGACAGUAUUGAUUUCUGAGUUCUACUCUAAAGACUGAU
rnacentral:lncRNA from 1 species